rnacentral:rRNA from 1 species
AUUGAACGCUGGCGGCAUGCUUUACACAUGCAAGUCGAACGGCAGCACGAAAGAGCUUGCUCUUUUGGUGGCGAGUGGCGAACGGGUGAGUAAUGCAUCGGAACGUACCGAGUAAUGGGGGAUAACUGUCCGAAAGGAUAGCUAAUACCGCAUACGCUUUGAGAAGGAAAGUGGGGGCUCUUCGGACCUCACGUUAUUCGAGCGGCCGAUGUCUGAUUAGCUAGUUGGUGGGGUAAAGGCCUACCAAGGCGACGAUCAGUAGCGGGUCUGAGAGGAUGAUCCGCCACACUGGGACUGAGACACGGCCCAGACUCCUACGGGAGGCAGCAGUGGGGAAUUUUGGACAAUGGGCGCAAGCCUGAUCCAGCCAUGCCGCGUGCCUGAAGAAGGCCUUCGGGUUGUAAAGGACUUUUGUUAGGGAAGAAAAGGAUAGUGUUAAUACCAUUAUCUGCUGACGGUACCUAAAGAAUAAGCACCGGCUAACUACGUG